rnacentral:rRNA from 1 species
GACGAACGCUGGCGGCGUGCUUAACACAUGCAAGUCGAACGGAAAGGCCCUGCUUUUGUGGGGUGCUCGAGUGGCGAACGGGUGAGUAACACGUGAGUAACCUGCCCUUGACUUUGGGAUAACUUCAGGAAACUGGGGCUAAUACCGGAUAGGAGCUCCUGCUGCAUGGGGGGGGUUGGAAGGUUUCGGCGGUGGGGGAUGGACUCGCGGCUUAUCAGCUUGUUGGUGGGGUAGUGGCUUACCAAGGCUUUGACGGGUAGCCGGCCUGAGAGGGUGACCGGCCACAUUGGGACUGAGAUACGGCCCAGACUCCUACGGGAGGCAGCAGUGGGGAAUAUUGCACAAUGGGCGGAAGCCUGAUGCAGCAACGCCGCGUGCGGGAUGACGGCCUUCGGGUUGUAAACCGCUUUCGCCUGUGACGAAGCGUGAGUGACGGUAAUGGGUAAAGAAGCACCGGCUAACUACGUG